rnacentral:rRNA from 1 species
UACAGAGGGGGCAAGCGUUAUUCGGAAUUAUUGGGCGUAAAGGGCGCGUAGGCGGCUUUGCAAGUGACGGGUGAAAUCCCUCGGCUUAACCGAGGAACUGCCUGUCAGACUGCAUGGCUUGAGACCAGGAGAGGUGAGUGGAAUUCCCAGUGUAGCGGUGAAAUGCGUAGAUAUUGGGAGGAACACCAGUGGCGAAGGCGGCUCACUGGACUGGUACUGACGCUGAGGCGCGAGAGCGUGGGGAGCAAACAGG